rnacentral:rRNA from 1 species
AUUCCAGCUCCAAUAGCGUAUAUUUAAGUUGUUGCAGUUAAAAAGCUCGUAGUUGGAUUUCGGUUGAGAGCGGCCGGUCCGCCGUUUGGUGUGCACUGGCUGGUCUCAACUUCCUGCGGAGGACGCGCUCUGGGCUUAACGGUCUGGACGUGGAGUCCGCGUGGUUACUUUGAAAAAAUUAGAGUGUUCAAAGCGGGCUUACGCUUGAAUAUUUCAGCAUGGAAUAACACUAUAGGACUCCUGUCCUAUUUCGUUGGUCUCGGGACGGGAGUAAUGAUUAAGAGGAACAGUUGGGGGCAUUCGUAUUUCAUUGUCAGAGGUGAAAUUCUUGGAUUUAUGAAAGACGAACUUCUGCGAAAGCAUUUGCCAAGGAUGUUUUCAUCG